rnacentral:tRNA from 1 species
CUUUAGAUGGCUGAGAUUUAAGCAUUGAUCUUUUAAAUCAAAAAACGGUAAUUUUACCUCUAAAGA